rnacentral:tRNA from 1 species
GCGCCGUUGACGGGAACUGGCAUACCUAGUUGACUUAGAAUCAACUGCUUGGGAGUUCGACUCUCCCACGGCGUA